AUGGUUUCUCCGGAUCCUUGGGAACCAGAAGCAGAAGACAAGAAGAAGGAAAGAGUCGCAGCCGGUGCUCCUUUCAUGUGGAUUACAUCAAACAUUGGUACUUGCCCUGAGGAUGCUAAUGAGGACACGGUGAAGACAUAUGCUCGUGUCUACAUGUGGUACGUGAUAUCCAGGACUAUGUUUGCUGAUGGCACAGGCAAGAAUGCUCCAUGGAUGUGGCUGAAGGCGUUGACCGUCUUCGAUAACAAAUGGAGUUGGGGUUCGGCGACACUGGCUUACUUGUAUCGACAGGUAUGA
rnacentral:rRNA from 1 species